rnacentral:rRNA from 1 species
AUUGAACGCUGGCGGCAGGCUUAACACAUGCAAGUCGAGCGGGGAAAGGUAGCUUGCUACCUGACCUAGCGGCGGACGGGUGAGUAAUGCUUAGGAAUCUGCCUAUUAGUGGGGGACAACAUCUCGAAAGGGAUGCUAAUACCGCAUACGUCCUACGGGAGAAAGCAGGGGACCUUCGGGCCUUGCGCUAAUAGAUGAGCCUAAGUCGGAUUAGCUAGUUGGUGGGGUAAAGGCCUACCAAGGCGACGAUCUGUAGCGGGUCUGCGAGGAUGAUCCGCCACACUGGGACUGAGACACGGCCCAGACUCCUACGGGAGGCAGCAGUGGGGAAUAUUGGACAAUGGGGGGAACCCUGAUCCAGCCAUGCCGCGUGUGUGAAGAAGGCCUUUUGGUUGUAAAGCACUUUAAGCGAGGAGGAGGCUACCGAGAUUAAUACUCUUGGAUAGUGGACGUUACUCGCAGAAUAAGCACCGGCUAACUCUGUG